AUGAAGGAGUUGAGGGGAAUGGUGUCUGGUUCGAGACCAUUCUUCUGAAGCAAAGAUCAUCAUCACCCUUGAGAAUGAUCUCGGACCAGGCUUCAUUCCCCCUAGCUCAA
rnacentral:pre_miRNA from 1 species